CCCUUAGAUGUUCUGGGCCGCACGCGCGCUACACUGACGAAUGCAACGAGCUUAUAACCUUGGCCGAAAGGUCUGGGUAAUCUCCAAAUUUCAUCGUGAUGGGGAUAGAUUAUUGCAAUUAUUAAUCUUCAACGAGGAAUUCCUAGUAAGCGCGAGUCAUCAGCUCGCGUUGAUUACGUCCCUGCCCUUUGUACACACCGCCCGUCGCUCCUACCGAUUGAAUGGUCCGGUGAAAUGUUCGGACCGCGACAAGGCGGACGGUUCGCUGUCAGCUUUGCUGCGGGAAGUUCAUUAAACCUUNUNAUUUACNGGAAGGAGAANUCGUANCA
rnacentral:rRNA from 1 species